rnacentral:lncRNA from 1 species
GGUCCAAAUCCUAGGGUGUUUCAGUCUCCCCCACUAGGAUCAUUCAUCCUCGAAUGAUAGGUAAGUGUAAAGAUAAGCACAAGGUAACACAUUAACACACAUCAAACUCCCCCUCCCCAACCGAAAUAGAGGACAAGAACAAAAACUAAGAUGAGAAGAUCAUCACAUACCCCAAGCACGAUUUACACCCCUACACCUUCAUCCCGACCUUUAAUUAAGUUAGGAAAAAAACAUGCAAAAGGAACCAUUCGUCACAUUUAACCAAGUUAGAAAACAAGGUUGUGUUGAAGAACACACAUCUUAUGCAUGAAUUUUUUGGAACAAGAAACAAACACGGAUCCUUGGAAUCCAUGUCCACCUCCGGAUCCCGAAUGACUUUCUCAAACUUUUAGCUCUCCCCCCCCCCCCCCAACGCGGCCCCUUCCCCAACGCUUUACUACACACCCCUCCAUCAUUGUCAAAUUAAAACCAAUUUCCAAAUAAUCAAACCAUUAUCCAAUUAUUAACCAAGGCCAUUGAUAAUGGUAUCGUCAUACCAAUCCUUACUUGAAAGUAUCAUCCAUAGCCAACCAUUUAGAGGUUUAAGGGGACUUUCAAGUGCCCUUCCAUGUACAAUAUUAAACGUCUUAGGGGACUUCCAUGCUCCCCACAAGUAUAACUAAUUAACCUUCAACAUUUCCAAACUAUUUAAACCAAUUCCAUUAAUGAAUCACUUGAGGGAUCUCCAUGUAUUCCGCAAGGUUUUCAAAAUAGACCAACUAUGACCACCAAAUCCUUUACCUUCUAAACCAUUAGAAGCCAUUUUAAAUCAUGCCAAACAUUUAAAGAAUUUACAUCAUUUAAACUAUGCAAAACCAUACAAAACCAUUUAGAGUUCCAUUACCAAACGAAACCAUGCAAAAGUUCCAAUGAAAGUUCAACAAUAGAGUAAAAACAUUCUUUGAGGUAUUUUAUCAAACAUGUUGAGGACAUACCAUUACAAAGACCAAAACCAAAGCAUAAACCACCAUAAUUAGGGUUACUCAAGACCCAUUUGUUAAACCAUAACCAAUCAAUAACAACAUAUGCAAACCUUUACCAUAAAUAUGUGAAAACAUAGUUUAAGCCAAUACCAAACCCUAUACAUCAAGAGCCUCAACAAUAUUUUAAAAUCCACCAUUCAUAAUUCAUAAACCAACAUUUAAAACACAAUAAAAAUGCCUUUAUUUGAAAUAACAAUGAGGGAAGGAGUACAUGCCUUAUACAAAAUGACUCACGGAAGAAAUCUUGACCUUUGAUCCCUUCGAAGAACACAUGAAGAAACCCUAGCCUCCAAUCUUCAAGAGAGUGUUUGAGAGAGUAUUUGAUGAGUUUUAAUACUUUAAUAAGUGUUAUUGAAGGCCAUAUAGGGUUAUAUGACAUAAGUACAUAAGGUUUUAGGAGUAGGAAAUGCCCAAAGAACCCCUGACUUUAAAUUCAAACAUGUCACAUCCUACGGUACGAGUUGUACCCCAACUCGUACCCAAAACUUUCCAUGACCAUACCUGCUGGUUUCUAUAUGACUCACACCCCCUUAAAUCGUACCUAAGGGUACAAGUGACACCCCCAAUCAUACCCACUACUUGUAUGUUGGACAGAUUCCAUAAGACAACUCAAACAUGCACCAUACGACUUGUCGUGCACCACUUAUAUGUUCUUAUAUGACUCUUACCUAGUUGAGCUGUAUCUUAGGCACUAUCCAACACCAACAUACUACCCAGGGUAUGAUUGAACCCUCACUACAGCCCAUAAGUCGUAUUCAAGGGUAUGAAUCAUACCUUUGAGUCGUACCAAGUCAAAAAGAUCCAAAACUUGAGAAAUUUUGCAAGGGUCCAAAUCCUAGGGUGUUUCAGUCUCCCCCACUAGGAUCAUUCAUCCUCGAAUGAUAGGUAAGUGUAAAGAUAAGCACAAGGUAACACAUUAACACACAUCAAACUCCCCCUCCCCAACCGAAAUAGAGGACAAGAACAAAAACUAAGAUGAGAAGAUCAUCACAUACCCCAAGCACGAUUUACACCCCUACACCUUCAUCCCGACCUUUAAUUAAGUUAGGAAAAAAACAUGCAAAAGGAACCAUUCGUCACAUUUAACCAAGUUAGAAAACAAGGUUGUGUUGAAGAACACACAUCUUAUGCAUGAAUUUUUUGGAACAAGAAACAAACACGGAUCCUUGGAAUCCAUGUCCACCUCCGGAUCCCGAAUGACUUUCUCAAACUUUUAGCUCUCCCCCCCCCCCCCCCCCCCCCCCCCCAACCCCGAACCU